GACGUAGGGCGCGAGCGUUGUCCGGAUUAUUGGGCGUAAAGAGCUCGUAGGCGGCUCGUUGCGUCAACCGUGAAAACCCGGGGCUUAACUUCGGGCUUGCGGUUGAUACGGGCGGGCUGGAGUUCGGUAGGGGAGACUGGAAUUCCUGGUGGUAGCGGUGAAAUGCGCAGAUAUCAGGAGGAACACCGAUGGCGAAGGCAGGUCUCUGGGCAAUUAACUGACGCUGAGGAGCGAAAGCAUGGGGAGCGAACAGGA
rnacentral:rRNA from 1 species